rnacentral:rRNA from 1 species
GUGGGGAAUUUUGGGCAAUGGGCGAAAGCCUGACCCAGCAACGCCGCGUGCAGGAUGAAGGCCCUCGGGUCGUAAACUGCUGUCGGGAGGGAAGAAAAGCAGCGGAAGGAAAUGGCCGCUGCCUGACGGUACCUCCAAAGGAAGCGCCGGCUAACUCCGUGCCAGCAGCCGCGGUAAUACGGAGGGCGCAAGCGUUGUUCGGAAUUACUGGGCGUAAAGCGCGUGUAGGCGGUCUGGCAAGUCGGUUGUGAAAUCCCCGGGCUCAACCCGGGAACUGCAUCCGAAACUUCCAGGCUAGAGUUUCGGAGAGGAAGGCAGAAUUCCCAAUGUAGGGGUGAAAUCCGUAGAUAUUGGGAGGAAUACCAGUGGCGAAGGCGGCCUUCUGGACGAUGACUGACGCUGAGACGCGAAAGCGUGGGGAGCAAACAGGAUUAGAUACCCCGGUAGUCC